rnacentral:rRNA from 1 species
CAGCGCCACGAGUGGCAACCGCGUUUAUUGGGCCUAAAGCGUCCGUAGCCGGUUCGGUAAAUCUUUUGUGAAAUUGUGCAGCUCAACUGUACAACGUGCAAGAGACACUAUCAAACUCGAGAUCGGGAGGAGUCAGAAGUAUUCCAGGGGGAGCGGUAAAAUGUUAUAAUCCCUGGAGGACUACCUAUGGCGAAGGCAUCUGACCAGAACGAAUCUGACUGUGAGGGACGAAAGCCAGGGGAGCGAACCGGAUUAGAUACCCGAGUAGUCC